rnacentral:rRNA from 1 species
GAUGAACGCUGGCGGCGUGCCUAAUACAUGCAAGUCGAGCGAACAGACGAGGAGCUUGCUCCUCUGACGUUAGCGGCGGACGGGUGAGUAACACGUGGAUAACCUACCUAUAAGACUGGGAUAACUUCGGGAAACCGGAGCUAAUACCGGAUAAUAUAUUUAACGGCAUGGUUCAAAAGUUAAAGACGGUUUUGCUUUAGCUUUUGGAUGGUUCCGGGCUGCAUUAGUUAGUUGGUAAGGUAACGGCUUACCAGGGCGCCGAUGCGUAGCCGACCUGAGAGGGUGAUCGGCCACACUGGAACUGAGCCACGGUCCAGACUCCUACGGGAGGCACAAGUAGGGAAUCUUCGGCAAUGGGCGAAAGCCUGACGGAGCAACGCCGCGUGAGUGAUGAAGGUCUUCGGAUCGUAAAACUCUGUUAUUAGUGAAGAACAAUUGUGUAAGUAACUAUGCACGUCUUGACGGUACCUAAUCAGAAAGCCACGGCUAACUACGUG